ACCUCACUUCCAGUUGUAAGCACAGAGACAACUGAGACUUUGGAACAAUUAACACCACCUGUGAUUGCCCACCUACAGACAACUGAAACAUCCGAGCCGCCACCACCACCGCCUCCGGUGACAAACAUGCCGGAAAGUGAAGCUUCUUUGCCUGAGGUUACAAACACACAUACAACUGAAAGCCUAGAGGAGACACAGACACCAUUGACUGAGGUUACAAACACACCUGCAACUGAACCCUCAGAUGAUACUGAU
rnacentral:lncRNA from 1 species